UCUCCGUUGGUGAACCAGCGGAGGGAUCAUUAAAGAGUUGCAAAACUCCCUUCAUAACCAUCGCGAACGCUACCCGAUUCUCGUUGCUUCGGCGGGGGUCCCCUUUCCAAAACGGGGUCCCCCGCCGGAGGGACGCAGCCAUAUACUCUUGUAUUUGCUGGCCUCUCUGAGUAACUUAUACAAUAAGUCAAAACUUUCAACAACGGAUCUCUUGGUUCUG
rnacentral:misc_RNA from 1 species